GAUCCUGGCUCAGGAUGAACGCCAGCUACAGGCUUAACACAUGCAAGUCGAGGGGCGGCAUCAUCAAAGCUUGCUUUGAUGGAUGGCGACCGGCGCACGGGUGAGUAACACGUAUCCAACCUGCCGACAACACUGGGAUAGCCUUUCGAAAGAAAGAUUAAUACCGGAUGGUAUAGUUUUCCCGCAUGGGGUGACUAUUAAAGAAUUUCGGUUGUCGAUGGGGAUGCGUUCCAUUAGGCAGUUGGG
rnacentral:rRNA from 1 species